GAAUUUCAACAACGGAUAUCUUGCCUCUCUUAUCGACGAAGAAUGAAAUAAGUGAUAUAUAAAAUGUGGCCUCUGUGAGUCAUCUUAUCGUUGAAAGCACAUUUCAUAUUGAAGAUUACCCCAACAAAGCGUAUUAGAGCACCG
rnacentral:rRNA from 1 species